AAUAUUAAUUACAGAGAUUUUAAUUUAAAAUAAAAUGCUAAAAUUUAAGAAGUAAGAUUUGCUAACAUUAAACUUUUUAACGAUGUGUUAAAAUCACCAAAGCUAGCAGCUUACGAAGCAUCUAGCUUUCUGUUAUGUCUAUGCAGUGGACGGCGAGAUGUGCAAGUGAAACUUAACCUCUCAUCACAUCAGAAAUGAUAGCGUUAGCUGUGCUCAGUGCAGUGAAGGAAGCAGCUACUUGCUCCUUUGCUUCAGUUGAUCCUGCCUAGUCAGCUGACUCCUGGCUGCCUAUAAAUUCUUCCUUUGUCACUUCCUGUUUAGCUGUUUGAGCUCACUUGUGGUUGGUAGCAGUGUGUUGAUGAUCAUAGAAAGAAACUGUGUUUGUUAUAGCGAUUUAUUGAAUUGGAGUUUGUGUAUGUAUCUGAGGAAAAUCUGUGACAGUGCGUUAGUUCUUGUUUUGUUGUCCUUAAAAAUCUGACCUCUGCCUGUUAACAGACUAAUCUGCUGUUUUGCUUUCGUUGGAUUUUUUUUCGCUGAUUGGAAAUAUUUUUACUUAUUAAAUGGGGAAUUUGACUCCUUUUUCUUUUGUACUUUCUUUUCUGAUUGAUUGUUUUGUGGACAAGGGAGUUUGGUAAUAAAGUGUAUUUUCUUUUAUUUCCUUUAGUUGAAAAUAGGGAAUUUAGAGGGCAUUUGAAUUUAGUUUGGUUUGUUUAUUAUUUUCUAUUAUUUUGACAUUAUUAUAAUGUUUUAAUUUAAUUUUAAAUAUGUGAUUUUUGAUUAUUAUGUCAAGGAUUGCUCUUUAAAAUAUGCUGGUUUUAUUAUAAACUUUGUUUUAUUAUUAUGUACAUUUCACAUACAUAAAUCCAAGUUUGCCAAAUGCAAACCUCUCUUCGUGGUGCUAGAAAUAGAGAUUCAAAUAUAUGUAAAAGUGAUUUCUAAAUCUAAAAAUAGUCAUAAAAACAGUUAAUAUAAGCUAGUCAACAUUAAUUUAGAUAGAUCUAUAAUUACAAUUUCUACUAUUUAAAACUUAUUUUUAGAUAUCUGCAAAUAUUUUUUAAUAGAAGAAUAUGACUAGUCACAAUAGGGUUGUAGAUAUCUCUAAUGUAUAAUAUGACUAGUCAAAAUUGCAAUAUAGAUAUCUUCAAUGCAUAUUAUGUCUAGUCAAAAUUGUAAUAUAGUAAUCUGGAGUUGGAUUCAUGACUAGUUUAGCAAGGGGUUUUUAUUGCUAAAACGGCUUGCCAUACUAACGUGUCCUGUCUGAUAACUGACCAGUAGCUGACGAAUAUGCCCAAACAUGGCUUUUGGACCAAUAACCAAUACUAAAACAGAUAGCGCAGCAUCACUAGUGACUAGGAGAAAGCUUGAGGGUCGUUUUGUUGUUGACACGGAUAAGAGGAUAGCGGAUGCAAUGUUAGAUUUACACGAUUAAAUAAACGUUAUUAACUGGUUCUGUGGCAGAUAGUUGUGCCUCAGGGAGCGCGAAGCUAUCAGGUAGCAUACUAUGAACACACAGCAGCGAUUUUCAUUUGAUUUUUACUUGAUUUUGUACAGGGAAGAGGUUUGGGAAUAAAUCUCUGACGAUCAGGAGUCGCUAUUUUUGACAUGACAAAAGUUAGGGUUUGGCCCUAUCAGAAUCGCACAGUUGAAUAAGAUAAACUCUUUGAGAGUUUAAAAUAAUUUGUCAUAUGGAGACAUUAAAAAAAUGGAAAAAAAAAACUUUAUUUUAUUACAGGACUCAAAGGGUGAAUAUUCCCGUUUAACCACAUUAAUAGUAUUGCCUACACAAGCUCUUGAACUGAAAUGAGACUGUUAACUAAAAGUCAUCACUGCAACACAGCAGAUAACCCAUGUCCUGCUUUAAAUAGGCAUAAAUAAAAUAAUAAAGCCAGAUACUGUAUCAAAGGUUAUUACGGUUGGAAUAUAGAACUGACGACAGGUGUAGGCAUGUGAUUUUAUCAGGUUCUAGCAUGUAAACAAGUUACCAUGAGUCACAAAAAAUGUUUAAGUGAAAUAAGAGUUUAAGUACUUGCAGUAAUAUACAUAUACAUGAAUGUUAAUUAAGUCCUACCUAAAACAGCUUUAACUCUCCCUUAGAAACUCUUGAGUGCUAUGCUACAUUUAAAAAUGAAAACUGAAGUUAAACACAACAGUGAAUGAAUGCAGUCAACAAUAAAAAUAAUAAUCACACUAACCAUUUUCCACCCUUUUUUAAACCACUUUUAUUGUUAAUAAAAAAGAAAGUGCAAAAUUCACGAGAUGCUCAGUUUUUAACAAAGCCAGAAAUAUAUAUUGACUUAAAGUUGGUUUUAUAUUUACGCAUUCGUUCAGUGACAACUUUUGACAUGCUCACUAUAAAUAUUGGACUUGAAAUCACAUGCAAGUAUGACUUCAAAACAACAUUAGCACUAUUCCAUUGACUGUGAGCUAUCUUGUACUUUGAUAGUCAUUGGCUGCUAAUAUCAUUUCACCAUUUGGAAUUUGCAAAGAAUACUUUUCUGAAACUAUAUUAUUAAGGAGAAACUCUGAAUGUGCCGACAUAAAACCAACUUUACCUAAAUAAAACAUAUUAGGACAAAUUAGUGUACAGAUUAACAGACUUAAACAGAAACAACAGAAAUAAUAUGUACAGUCAUAACAGUGAAAACAGUGAUAUUUAUCAGAUAUUGUAAAGGCACUUUAAAUGACAGCAAUACAAUCAACCACUAACCACAUUUAGGAAAUAGCUUAAUUAAGGCCCCUAAGGAACAGCAUGAAAAUAUCCAUAUAACACUGAUGCAUCCUAUAUCAUGAAGAAAUAUGAGAUUACACAUUAUUUUAUGUAAGCUGAGAAUUAAAUCUAAACUAA